GCCCUAGCAGUAAACGCUGUGAGUUAGGUUUUACAUAAUCUUAGGGAUUAUGUAGUGCCGUAGGGAAGCCGUUAAACUCACCACCUGGGAAGUACGGUCGCAAGAUUGAAACUUAAAGGAAUUGGCGGGGGCGCACCACAAGGAGUGAGGUGUGCGGUUUAAUUGGAUUCUACGCCGUGAAUCUCACCAGGAGCGACGGCAGAAUGAAGGUCAGAUUAAAGGUUUUACCUAACAAGCCGAGAGAUAGUGCAUGGCCGCCGU
rnacentral:rRNA from 1 species